AUUGAACGCUGGCGGCAGGCCUAACACAUGCAAGUCGAGCGGAUGAAGGGAGCUUGCUCCUGGCUUCAGCGGCGGACGGGUGAGUAAGGCCUAGGAAGCUGCCUGGUAGUGGAGGAUAACGUACGGAAACGGGAGCUAAUACCGCAUACGUCCUGAGGGAGAAAGUGGGGGAUCUUCGGACCUCACGGUAUCAGAUGAGCCUAGGUCGGAUUAGCUAGUUGGUGGGGUAAGGGCCUACCAAGGCGACGAUCCGUAACUGGUCUGAGAGGAUGAUCAGUCACACUGGAACUGAGACACGGUCCAGACUCCUACGGGAGGCAGCAGUGGGGAAUAUUGGACAAUGGGCGAAAGCCUGACCCAGCCAUGCCGCGUGUGUGAAGAAGGUCUUCGGAUUGUAAAGCACUUUAAGUUGGGAGGAAGGGCAGUAAGUUAAUACCUUGCUGUUUUGACGUUACCAACAGAAUAAGCACCGGCUAACUUCGUG
rnacentral:rRNA from 1 species